rnacentral:rRNA from 1 species
AUGGCGUCCUGGAAGGACCAUGAGGGCGGGGGCAUCUCAACCACAACGUGUGUUGAUGCCGCUGCACGCCUCGGCGAGCGCUGCGAUCAGAUCCUCGGCGGUCGCGCCUCCUUCCGUGAAGCACUCCGACUGAAGAAGGGGGCCAUGACGCUGGUCAAGAACCAGGGGAAAUGCGGAAGCUGCUGGGCCUACUCGACCGUGGUGGUCGUGGAGGGGAUGAACCAGAUUAUGAUUGGCAGGCUUGAGUCGCUGUCGGACCAGGAGCUGAUGGACUGUGACAACACUUUCGACCAUGGCUGCGGAGGGGGGCCUCAUGGACUUCGCCUACGCCUACAUCGUGGUCGUGGAGAACCAGGGGAUCCACACCUCAUGGAGGAGGGCAACUACAAGGAGAAACAGAACAGCGAGAUGAGCCUGCUGAAAGUGCUGGUGCACCAGGCCGUCAGCGUGGGCAUCACUGCAGGGAGCAGAGACUUCCAGUUGUACAAAGGGGGGGUGUUUGAAGGAACGUGUGAGACUCGCCUCGAUCAUGUGCUAACGGCCGUCUCAUCCCGCGGGCACAACCCAUCAUCAUGA